UCGGUGUAAACAGAAUACCGCAUGUAUACUCCGCCCGUUGGUGGAAGUUGCCAUAGUAACGUUAGUAGCUUAGUCUCAGAGAAUGACACGUCAUGACCCAAUCAGUCGGCGAAACAUUAGCCAAAG